rnacentral:rRNA from 1 species
GACGAACGCUGGCGGCGUGCCUAAUACAUGCAAGUAGAACGCUGAAGGAGGAGCUUGCUUCUCUGGAUGAGUUGCGAACGGGUGAGUAACGCGUAGGUAACCUGCCUGGUAGCGGGGGAUAACUAUUGGAAACGAUAGCUAAUACCGCAUAAUAGUAGAUGUUGCAUGACAUUUGCUUAAAAGGUGCAAUUGCAUCACUACCAGAUGGACCUGCGUUGUAUUAGCUAGUUGGUGAGGUAACGGCUCACCAAGGCAACGAUACAUAGCCGACCUGAGAGGGGGGUCGGCCACACUGGGACUGACACCCGGCCCAGACGCCUACGGGGGGCGGCAGGGGGGAAUCUUGGGCAAGGGACGGAAGUCUGACCGAGCACCGCCGGGGGAGUGAAGAAGUUUUUCGGUUCGUAAAGCUCUUUUGUAAGAGAAGAGCGGGUGUGGGGGUGAAAAUUUCACCUUGUGACGGUUUCUAACCAGAAAGGGCCGGCUAACCACGUG